rnacentral:lncRNA from 1 species
UUAGGGAAUAGGGAUAGAACUAGGAAUAGCCCCUUAUUCCUCUUUUAUACCUAAACGCUAAUUUUUUACCCGAAAAUAGUAGUUCUCGGUUAUCCCCACCAUCACCUCCAUUUUUUAUAUAAAACUAUUUAAAAUUGUUCUUAUCUCCGGGAACAACCCAAUUUUCAUCCAAACACUAUUUUUCUUAUCCCCAUGCUUGUACCUAUCCCUGUAAUAGCUAGUUCUUACUUAUACCCGAACCAAACGGUACCCUAGAGUAUGAAU